AACGAACGCUGGCGGCAUGCCUAACACAUGCAAGUCGAACGAGAUCUUCGGGUCUAGUGGCGCACGGGUGCGUAACGCGUGGGAAUCUGCCCUUUGGUUCGGAAUAACAGUUGGAAACGACUGCUAAUACCGGAUGAUGACGAAAGUCCAAAGAUUUAUCGCAAGAGGAUGAGCCCGCGUAGGAUUAGCUGGUUGGUUUGGUAAAGGCGCACCAAGGCGACGAUCCUUAGCUGGUCUGAGAGGAUGAUCAGCCACACUGGGACUGAGACACGGCCCAGACUCCUACGGGAGGCAGCAGUGGGGAAUAUUGGACAAUGGGCGAAAGCCUGAUCCAGCAAUGCCGCGUGAGUGAUGAAGGCCUUAGGGUUGUAAAGCUCUUUUACCCGGGAUGAUAAUGACAGUACCGGGAGAAUAAGCUCCGGCUAACUCCGUGCCAGCAGCCGCGGUAACAC
rnacentral:rRNA from 1 species